UAAGGAAUAUUGGUCAAUGGACGCAAGUCUGAACCAGCCAUGCCGCGUGAAGGAUGAAGGUCCUCUGGAUUGUAAACUUCUUUUAUCUGGGACGAAAACGGGAUUUUUAUCUCAAUUGACGGUACCAGAGGAAUAAGCACAGGCUAACUCCGUGCCAGCAGCCGCGGUAAUACGGAGGGUGCGAGCGUUAUCCGGAUUUACUGGGUUUAAAGGGUGCGUAGGUGGGCUUAUAAGUCAGUGGUGAAAUCUCCGAGCUUAACUUGGAAACUGCCGUUGAUACUAUAGGUCUUGAAUUAUCUGGAGGUAAGCGGAAUAUGUCAUGUAGCGGUGAAAUGCUUAGAUAUGACAUAGAACACCAAUUGCGAAGGCAGCUUACUACAUAUAAAUUGACGCUGAGGCACGAAAGCGUGGGGAUCAAACA
rnacentral:rRNA from 1 species